CCGUGGUUUUUCUACGAUUUCAGUUUAGUCCACGCUGAAACUAUGUCGUUCUGGGGGGAAAGGAAAAAUUAUCCUUUCAGUCCCUCCAUGUUUCGCGCGCGUCACAAUUUAAUCCUUCGCCUUAUUUUUUUCGAUUUCUCCCCUAAGAUUUUGUUUUAUUUUCAAUUUAGUCUUGUUAUUGUUAUUUUUAUUAUUAUUAAAC
rnacentral:lncRNA from 1 species